GUUGCAAGCCGGGGAAGUGGACCACCGGGGGCCCAGCUCCGUGUAUUCCCGGGCUGCUGGACUACAUUUCCCAGAGGCCCGUGCGCCGCCCAGUCCCCAGAGUCGGAGCGUAGCGAGGUGCCUGCUGGGAGAGGUUUACUGAGCCGAGGAUUGUCUGGGCUCAGCAUCCCGCGGCCCCGGUCCCGAGUUGACCUCAAGCCUUGCGCCCCGUCCUCACGCCCUGUGGGUCGUGGGGCCCCGAGCGGCCAGCCGUCCUCCGGAACAAGCAUCCUGGAGAGGAAGACGCUUGUUACGCAUCUUAAAGUCAAGUGACUAAUUCUUUCCGGAGAGGUGUGAUGGGGCCGUGCAGGUGUCUGCAGAGAACACAGAACAGAAGAAUGCGGUGGGGAGGUUCGUGUUGUGCUUUAUUUCAGCCUGUGAUUUGGUCAGGAGGAUACUUGUCUUUAGGUGGGAUCCGCAGUCUUGCCCACCGGCCUGACUUUCAGAGCACAGUGAGAACAGAGAAGGUUUGAUUGUUUUGGCCAGUAAAUGACAAAGUUACCAGCUUGGUGAUGCUUUUAAAAGUGGGGUUUGAGGGCCGUCCUGCUGGCCUAGUCCGUAGAGUGUGCAGCUCUUAGGAAAUGUGCUGCUGGAGCGAGCACUAGAGCGUGCAGCUCUUGAUCCCGGGGUCGUGAGUUCCAGCCCCACGUUCGCCAUGGAGCCUACUUAAAAUUUAAAAAAAAAAAAAAAAAGUAAAAUUCAAAGGAAUUGAGCCAUUAUUUUGAUAAGUAAAUAAAUAAAAGUGGGGUUUGAGCAAAGGGCUUUGUCAUUAAAGGCAGGGAUUUUUUUUUCAGUGAUCAGUAGAAAUCUGUUGUAUUAUCCACAUCUUGUCGGAAGUGUGACAGCUUCAGUCUGUUUCAGUUGCAUUUUUGUAUGAACUGCAAGAAGCAACAUGGUUUGAUGUUGAGUGAGUUCUGGAACUAGAGCAGAGGGUUUGGCAGUUUCUAAAAGGUCAUAUAUUGAAUAGUUCGUGCUUUGUGGGCUACAUAUGGUUCCAUAUUCUUCUUGUUUAAUUGAUCUUGUUACUGUUUAGGAUGGUUUUAGAUUUGCAGAAAAAAAUCGCGAAGUUAGUACAGAGAAUUCCCAGGUACCCUGUACCCACUGUCCCCUAUUAUUAACAACUUACAUUAGUAUGGGAUGUUAUUUACAGUUGGUGAGCCAAUUCUGAUACAUUGUCAUUAACUGAAGUCCACGCUUUAUUCAGAUUUCCUUAGUUUUUACAGUAACAUUCUUCAUGUGUUCCAGGAUGCCAUCCCGGAGAUCACAUUACAUUUCAUUGUCGUGUGUCCUUAAGCUUCUCUUGGCUGUGACAGUUUCUCAGACUUCCCUUGUUUCUGAUGACUUUGAAGGUUUUAAGAGGUACAGGUAUUUGGUAGGAUGCCCCUCUCUUGGAACCUGAUGCUUUUCUCGUGAUUGGACUGGGUUUAUGGUUUUGGGGGUGGAAGAUCACUACUUUUAUCCUAUCAUGGCAAGAACACAAACUGUCAGCAUGAUUUAUGAUUGCUGAGUGUGAACUUGAUCGUUUGGCUGAGGUGGUUUGUCCGUUUUCUCUACUGUGAGCUUACUCCCAUUUUUCAAAGACUGGGUCUCCCCAAGUGACAGCUGUGUGUUUCAGAAGCCCUGUUACUAGAGCCUAGUCAGUCUGAUCCUGCUUUGGUGGUCACGUCUUUCUCUCUUCUCACCCCCUCAUUUGCUUGUAAGGACCCCCACAAUUACUUUGGGCCCACCUGGCAUAAUUCAGGAUACCUUCCUAUCUUGAGGUCAGCUGAUGAGCGACCCCAAGUCCACCUGCAACCUAACUGCCCUUUGCCAUGUAACGUAACAUAGUCACAGGCUCCAGGGUUAGGAUACAGAUGUGUUUGGGAGGCAGUUGUCCUGCCUGCCACAGGCCUAUCCAUCCACAGUUCCCCUGAUGACCGAAAUAUACCCACUGCCCCAUAACUGUGGACUUUUUCUUUGUUGAUUUGUUUUAAAUUUGGGACUAGCUUAAAUUAUAUUUCUUAUCAUGGAAUUAAUAUAGGCCUGCAGCAAAAGGUUCAGCUUCCUAAGGAGCUCGUAAAGAAGAAACUCGAAAUUACCCAUAGCUGUACCAUCCAGAGAUAAUUGCUGUUGAUAUUUUGAAACCCCAAGAGGACUGAUCAGUUCUUGAUUCUAAAACUAUGGCGCACGGUUUGGUGACGUUCUCAGAUGUAGCCAUCGACUUCUCUCAGGAGGAGUGGGCAUGCCUGGACUCCACGCAGAGGGAUCUGUACUGGGAUGUGAUGUUGGAGAACUACAGUAACCUGGUCUCCCUGGGUGAGUUGCCUGCCCCCUGGAAUGUCAGCUGCCUCCACUGGGAAUGUCAGGACUGACUUCCAAGAAACGAAUUCCUUCCUCUUCUCAAGAAGUGUCUUGAGCCUUGUCGCAUCUAAAAUGGGCACCUCGCACCUUCAUCUCCUUGUCCUCUUCCCACCUUUGUCUGGCCCUUCCUGUAAUCAUCUCUCCUCCUUAGUGAGCAAAGGGUGAAUUCAAAUUCUGGGCUGUUUACUUCACACCCAUCCUCAAGGAGCUGAGCUUCAUACUAUGAUAGUAUGUUCAUGCCCAGACUGCUACUGAUGGCCUGUGGUACUCUGGGGACCCCCCCUUCAGGGAACUUGACUUCCUUCAGUAAGCCAGCCUGUGUUUGAUGUGGAUUGAAUGGACAGCAUUCACGUAAAACCAAAGCAAGCAUUGUACCUGAAGUGAGGUUGAAAGUUACAAUUCCUGGGCGCCUGGGUGGCUCA